AAUAUGUUACAGAAAUAACUCCUAAGGAGAAAAAUGUGCUAUAAAAGCAUAUGAUGGGUUCCUGCCUUGGUCAGAUAAGACUUUCCUAAGAAAGAAGCAUUUGAGCUGAGUAGUCAAAGGCCAUUCUAAGCUAAGCAAUAAAAAGAAGAAGAUUCACAUCUACUAACAAGAAAGAAUUGGAAGAAUUCAAAGUUUUUAGAAUAAAAAUUCAGAAAUCCUAUUUCCCUUUGAACAGAGGAUACUUGAACUGCAAAUACUACUCCCAGAGAUUCAAGUACAUCAACAAUAUAUGUUAG
rnacentral:lncRNA from 1 species